rnacentral:rRNA from 1 species
CAGCACCUCAAGUGGUCAGGAUGAUUAUUGGGCCUAAAGCAUCCGUAGCCGGCGCUGUAAGUUUUCGGUUAAAUCUGUACGCUCAACGUACAGGCUGCCGGGAAUACUGCAGAGCUAGGGAGUGGGAGAGGUAGACGGUACUCGGUAGGAAGGGGUAAAAUCCUUUGAUCUAUUGAUGACCACCUGUGGCGAAGGCGGUCUACCAGAACACGUCCGACGGUGAGGGAUGAAGGCUGGGGGAGCAAACCGGAUUAGAUACCCGAGUAGUCC